rnacentral:rRNA from 1 species
AUUGAACGCUGGCGGCAUGCCUUACACAUGCAAGUCGAACGGUAACAUGCUUUUAGGUGCUGACGAGUGGCGUAGGGGUGAGUAAUGGAGCGGAACGUACCGAACGGUCGUGAUUAACGGAGCCAAAUCUGUGCUAAGAUCGCAUAUAACCUGAGGCAGUAAGCGGGGGACCAGGGAGCAUUGUUUGGCCUCGCGCCUUUGACUCGGCCGACGUCGCAUUAGCUAGUUGGUGGGGUAAAGGCCCACCAAGCCGACGAUCUAUAGCCGAUCUGAGAGGAUGAUCAGCCACACUGGGACUGAGACACGGCCCAGACUCCUACGGGAGGCAGCAGUGGGGAAUCUUGCACAAUGGGCGAAAGCCUGACGGAGCAACGCCGCGUGAGUGAAGAAGGCUUUCGGUUCGUAAAGCUCUGUUGUUAGGAAAGAAUGGAUAUGUGGUAACUAUACGUGUAAGAGACGGUACCUAACGAGAAAGCCACGGCUAACUACGUG